rnacentral:rRNA from 1 species
GGGGAAUUUUGGACAAUGGGGGCAACCCUGAUCCAGCCAUCCCGCGUGUGCGAUGAAGGCCUUCGGGUUGUAAAGCACUUUUGGCAGGGAAGAAGAGCCACGGGAUAAUACCCUGUGGUGCUGACGGUACCUGCAGAAUAAGCACCGGCUAACUACGUGCCAGCAGCCGCGGUAAUACGUAGGGUGCAAGCGUUAAUCGGAAUUACUGGGCGUAAAGCGUGCGCAGGCGGUUUGGCAAGAAGGAUGUGAAAUCCCGGGGCUUAACCUCGGAACUGCAUUCUUAACUGCCAGGCUAGAGUAUGUCAGAGGGGGGUAGAAUUCCACGUGUAGCAGUGAAAUGCGUAGAGAUGUGGAGGAAUACCGAUGGCGAAGGCAGCCCCCUGGGAUAAGACUGACGCUCAUGCACGAAAGCGUGGGGAGCAAAC